rnacentral:rRNA from 1 species
GGGGAAUAUUGCACAAUGGGCGCAAGCCUGAUGCAGCCAUGCCGCGUGUGUGAAGAAGGCCUUCGGGUUGUAAAGCACUUUCAGCGAGGAGGAAGGGUAGUGUGUUAAUAGCACAUUGCAUUGACGUUACUCGCAGAAGAAGCACCGGCUAACUCCGUGCCAGCAGCCGCGGUAAUACGGAGGGUGCGAGCGUUAAUCGGAAUUACUGGGCGUAAAGCGCACGCAGGCGGUUUGUUAAGUCAGAUGUGAAAUCCCCGCGCUUACGUGGGAACUGCAUUUGAAACUGGCAAGCUAGAGUCUUGUAGAGGGGGGUAGAAUUCCAGGUGUAGCGGUGAAAUGCGUAGAGAUCUGGAGGAAUACCGGUGGCGAAGGCGGCCCCCCUGGACAAAGACUGACGCUCAGGUGCGAAAG